AAGAGCUCCACGUACAUUUCAUUUAGGUGGCCGGGGAACAUUCAAGCUAAUUUACUCAUGUGGUCUGCUUUGUGUGAGCAGGGUAUGUAGAGAAGGUCCGCACAAUCAAAUAGAAACCGAAAUCAUGAAGGCCAAUCUACUUAUAAUAAUCUGCCUUCUCUUGGUAUCCGCACUCUUCAUUCCUUCUCCAAUUUCAGCUAGACAAUUAGCUGACAAACCUCCUGUGACUAUUGGAACCGGGAAUCCAGGCAAGCCAGCAGUGCCACCAUGUGGUCGUGGUCCUAGAUAUGGGAGUUGUAUCCCCCGAAAGUCGCCACCUAAAUCAUCAUGUAACCCGUACGUGCGUAAUUGCCCACCUGCCUGAAGGCGUUUGAGAGCAUGAUCGGCAGCUUGCUUAUAUAUUCUCUAUCGUCCACUACUACUUAAGAAGACUAUUAUAUAUAUAUAUGGUUUUUGGAGCUUUAUUAUUUUGAUUGCUUUGAUCAUGUGCACUCAAAAUUAAUGAACUCCAAGAACUUCUACAGUUUGAUGUAAUGUAUGCAAAAUAAAAGAGCUGACAGAGUCAGUUGGUAUAUAUAUUGAAUGGACUUUAUUACAAUUCUAUAUAUGCAUUUUCCUUUA